rnacentral:rRNA from 1 species
UUUGACGUUAGCGGCGGACGGGUGAGUAACACGUGGAUAACCUACCUAUAAGACUGGGAUAACUUCGGGAAACCGGAGCUAAUACCGGAUAACAUAUUGAACCGCAUGGUUCAAUAGUGAAAGGCGGCUUUGCUGUCACUUAUAGAUGGAUCCGCGCCGUAUUAGCUAGUUGGUAAGGUAACGGCUUACCAAGGCAACGAUACGUAGCCGACCUGAGAGGGUGAUCGGCCACACUGGAACUGAGACACGGUCCAGACUCCUACGGGAGGCAGCAGUAGGGAAUCUUCCGCAAUGGGCGAAAGCCUGACGGAGCAACGCCGCGUGAGUGAUGAAGGUCUUCGGAUCGUAAAACUCUGUUAUCAGGGAAGAACAAAUGUGUAAGUAACUGUGCACAUCUUGACGGUACCUGAUCAGAAAGCCACGGCUAACUACGUGCCAGCAGCCGCGGUAAUACGUAGGUGGCAAGCGUUAUCCGGAAUUAUUGGGCGUAAAGCGCGCGUAGGCGGUUUUUUAAGUCUGAUGUGAAAGCCCACGGCUCAACCGUGGAGGGUCAUUGGAAACUGGAAAACUUGAGUGCAGAAGAGGAAAGUGGAAUUCCAUGUGUAGCGGUGAAAUGCGCAGAGAUAUGGAGGAACACCAGUGGCGAAACGCGACUUUCUGGUCUGUAACUG